rnacentral:rRNA from 8 species
GAGUUUGAUCCUGGCUCAGAUUGAACGCUGGCGGCAUGCCUUACACAUGCAAGUCGAACGGCAGCACGGGAGCUUGCUCCUGGUGGCGAGUGGCGAACGGGUGAGUAAUGCAUCGGAACGUAUCCUGGAGUGGGGGAUAACGUAGCGAAAGUUACGCUAAUACCGCAUAUUCUGUGAGCAGGAAAGCGGGGGACCUUCGGGCCUCGCGCUCUUGGAGCGGCCGAUGUCGGAUUAGCUAGUUGGUGAGGUAAAGGCUCACCAAGGCGACGAUCCGUAGCAGGUCUGAGAGGAUGAUCUGCCACACUGGAACUGAGACACGGUCCAGACUCCUACGGGAGGCAGCAGUGGGGAAUUUUGGACAAUGGGGGCAACCCUGAUCCAGCCAUGCCGCGUGAGUGAAGAAGGCCUCGGUGUAAG